CCACCACGGACCAAUGGGAGAGGCGCUUCUUGGGCUUCAAGGUUACGGGCGACUUCUAGGCUGAGCGUGCGUCUUGUUGACAGCUCCCUCUGCUGCUGCUGUUUGUUGUUGUUGUUGUUUACUCGCCCUCGCUCUGUUGUUGACGCCGCCAUGGGUCGCAUCACGCGCACGACGCUCGUCUUCGGAGGCUUCGUGGCGGCGCUGGCGGUGACGAUUUAUCCCAUCGCGAUCCACCCGUUCCUGAACAUCGCUGACUUCCAGGUCGUGCAGAAGGUGAACCGGGAAGGAGUCGAUCAGGAAUCCAUUCAGCCAGGAGGCAUGAAGGUUUGGUCAAAUCCCUUCGAGCCCAAGAAGUGAGCCACAGAGCCACACAAAGAGAGACAGAGAGCCAGAGACAGACACAGAGAGACACAGAUACACACAAAGAGAGACAGAGAGACAGAGACAGACACAGAGAGACACAGAG